CGCCCAUCGAGCGCUCCCUCCCGCAGGAGUUGUGUCGGAGCAGCAAUGCGGUGUUCGGCUCGCUGGGAGCGGGAUGUGCGCAGGACGUGCCGGGGCUCGGCGGGCGGGGGAGGCUCUCACCGAGCCCCUGCGGCUUCCCGCAGGUGAAACGGGGUCAGAGCGACUCCUGGGAACUGGCUGUGAAUUCCCCGCAGGAAAGGCACGCACUGAAAUAUCACGGCUUGUAGCCAAAGCAAUUCAAGAUGUGACUGCUGCAAAUGUGCAUUGGGC
rnacentral:lncRNA from 12 species